UUCUGACCGUAAACGAUGCCAACUAGCGAUCCGCCGGUGGCUCUAAGGCCCUGGUGGGGAGCUUCCCGGAAACGAAAGUCUUCCGGUUCCGGGGGAAGUAUGGUUGCAAAGCUGAAACUUAAAGGAAUUGACGGAAGGGCACCACCAGGAGUGGAGCCUGCGGCUUAAUUUGACUCAACACGGGAAAACUCACCCGGCCCGGACACCGUAAGGAUUGACAGAUUGAUAGCUUUUUCAUGAUUCGGUGGUUGGUGGUGCAUGGCCGUUCUUAGUUCGUGGAUCGAUUUGUCUGGUUUAUUCCGAUAACGAGCGAGACUCCAGCCUACUAACUAGUGCUGGCAUUGCUACUGUGCCGUUGCACUUCUUAGAGGGAUUGGCUGCGUCUAGCGGCACGAAACGGAGCAAUAACAGGUCUGUGAUGCCCUUAGAUGUCCGGGGCUGCACGCGCGCUACACUGGCAAAGGCAGCGUGCUUGUCCGUCUCCGAAAGGAGUCGGUAAACCCUUGAAAAUUUGCCGUGAUUGGGAUCGGAAAUUGCAAUUAUUUUCCGUGAACGAGGAAUUCCUAGUAAGUGCGAGUCAUCAGCUCGCGUUG
rnacentral:rRNA from 1 species